UCUGUGCUGCCUAUUUAAUGUGCUACG
rnacentral:piRNA from 1 species